CUUAGUGACGGACGGGUGAGUAACGCGUGGGUAACCUGCCUUAUACAGGGGGAUAACAACCAGAAAUGGUUGCUAAUACCGCAUAAGCGCACAGGACCGCAUGGUCCGGUGUGAAAAACUCCGGUGGUAUAAGAUGGACCCGCGUUGGAUUAGCUAGUUGGCAGGGUAACGGCCUACCAAGGCGACGAUCCAUAGCCGGCCUGAGAGGGUGAACGGCCACAUUGGGACUGAGACACGGCCCAG
rnacentral:rRNA from 1 species